UAACUUUUUAUGAGCAGUAUAUUGAGUUUCUUCAGUGGGAAAUUAAGCUGCAGGUAAAAAGCAUGCAGGCUGUGGGAAAGGUAAAUGUCACCUGUCUGUUCAUCAGUGCAUUUGCCAAGAAGGUUUCCAGCAGGCAAGUUGACUGGGAAAUGGCUCUUAGGAGUUUUUUGGGUUUGAGCGUGAGCCAGAACCACGAGAACCUUUGGGUUUGAGCGUGAGCCAGAACCAUGAGAAGUAUGUGAGCUACGAGAGCUAUGAUAGCUAUAUGAGCUAUAACUGGGUGUGAGGGAUGACAACAGAUGUGACCAGCGGGACUGUAGGAGAACCAUCUGCAAGAGAUGUCUACAGACUAGCGUGGUGGCGGACUGUGAUUAGGAUAUCUGCAAGAGAUGUCAACAGCCAACCAUCCAAGAUGUGCUAGUGUCUGGUCGUCAUCAAGAUAUUGAUAAUAUUCGCAAUGACAGUGAAUUUCAGAUGAGUUUAUACUGAUACAAACUGAACUGGUUUAAAAUGAUUAUUUAACUAAGGCUCGAACAUUGACUAGAAGCUAGUUGGCUCAGACUGGUUUACCAUGGACACCAGAAUACAGUUUUUUGGGGGGUUUAAUUUAAGGUUGGGGUAGUGAUGUGUUUGGAGUGAAAUCGUCAUUUUGUAUAUUUAUAUUUUGUAUAUAAAUUUGUUGAAAUGU
rnacentral:lncRNA from 1 species